rnacentral:lncRNA from 1 species
GGAAUUCGUACCCAAAUCCCUAUCAUACUCCAGCAUUAUCUUGCUUAGAAAUAUAUAUUUCUAUCCAAAUCAAACAAAUAUAAAAAAACAAUGAAUUGAAGGGUUUUGGAAAACCGAUAAGCAAACCAUCAAAUCAAAGAGUAAGUCCAAUCUUCUUCACUGCAACAUGAGUGGAAGAACAUAGUCAAAAUCAACAGCCAACUGUCACAACACAAAUGUCCAGUGAACAUNCACCUUCCUACAACCAAUAAGAGAGACUAAAGCCACUUGAGAAAACUAGAAAAUAGUAAAUGAGAAUGUAAUAAAACAUAAAGCGUUGCAGUAAGCUAAAUAAUCUACACCNACUGCAUGCACGAUCCAAUAGACAUCCUCUUCACUGCAAGAGUAGAAGAUAAUCAAAAUCAACAGAGUCAACUGUCCAACAACCCAAAUGUCAAAGCCUCUCACUUACAGAUUGUCUACUUUCAAGAUCUCCCAUUUCACAAGUUUAGUUUGAAAAAUAACACCAAUGNAAAUAAUGAAUGCAAAGAUAAUAAAACAAAGUGUUUCACCGAGCUCCUUCAAUGUUACCAUACACUGUUUUCAAAGUUGCCCACCAUUUGCAUACCCUGCACCCACUUCAUUUCUUAGUUUUCUUGGUAAAGCCCAUCGAUUAACUAUAAUUANUCUGGGUAGAAGAUGAAGGACCUAAAUGGUAAGAUAAAUAAACAAAUACAAUAAUUAAAAAAUCAAUGGAGGAAUUCCAAAACAAACUCGAUCAUCAUAAUGUUACAGCGAUCAAUUAUUGCUCUUGCAUAGACAAACACCAUGGCCGAAACAAGUACCUCCCUACAACCAACAAGAGAGACUAAAGCCAAUAGCAAACAAGAAAAAUAGUACAUGAGAACGUAAUGAAACAUAAACCUUUGUAGUAAGUAAAAUAAUCUACGGUUAAUCCAUCGAUCCAAUAUCCUCUUAACUGCAAAGUGAGUAGAANAAGAUAAUCAAAAUCAACAACCAAUAACAACACAAAUAUCAAAGCGUGUCACUUAUAAAGUAUCUACAUUCAAGAUCUCCCACUCCACAAGUUUAGUUUGAAGAAUUACGGCAAUGAACAUAAUGAAUUCAAAAAUAAUAAAACCUAUAGUUCACCGGAUCUCCUUCCACUGUUACCAAAACCGGCCCAACACCUACCAUUUGCACAUCAUGCACACAUUUCUAUUCCUAGUUUCCCUGUAAAUCCCAUCAAUUCAAGAAAACAAUAAUUAAUUUGGGCAGAAGAUGGACCAACACCAUAAGAUGAGUCAACAAAUUCAGGAACCAAAAAACUAGUUGAGAAACUUCCAUAGCAGGCUCGAUCAUCAUAAUGUUCAGAGAUCAAGUAUUGCUCAUGCUUAGACAAACACCAUGGCUGACACAUGUAUCUUCCUACAACCAAUACGUUUUCAUGCAAAGCCCAUGUAUUCAAUAAAGCUAUAAUUAAUCUCAAGCUUCAAAGUAAGUUCAAUAUCUACCGCAAUAUCCUCCACGACCCCAAUAGACAUUCUCUUCACUGCAAUACAAAUGUCAAAGCCUUUCUUAUUCAUAUAGUGCGUACUUACAACUCAAACUUCACAAGUUUAGCCUGACAAAUAACCGCAAGGAAAAUAAUGAAUGCAAAGAUAAUAAUACCUAAAGUAAUAAAUGCACCCCGUCUACUGUUUUCGAAACCUGGCCCCACAUAUCUACUGCCUUCGUGUAAAAGCUCCAGAAGAAAUAUGGUGUCGCUAAGAUAAUCUCUGUUAAGAAUAUGACAAAGUAGAUAAACCAUGAGGGAGGAGUCGCUUACGCCCACAGCAUCAGCCACCACAGGCUUUGGGGAGGCGUCCAGCCGCCAGCAGUCACAAAAUAAAGUGUUGAAAUCAAAUUGUGAGUGCUCUUGACAAUUAGUAAAAUGAAGUAAUAACUUAACCAACAAAAUAACUUUUCAAAAUCGUGACACCUUAGAAAAUAAAAUAGAAAAAUUGUUUUCAAUCAUUUCAAUUGGAUCCUGUAAAAGGGUCAAAUUUCAGUAUGAUUCAAGAACUCAAAGAGCUAUGAGAAACACAAAUUACUUAGAAAUGUAAGUGUCCAAAAGAAUAAAGUGUAAAAAAGGUGCUUUUAGAGCAAGAAAUACAAAUACCCACAAGAACUACNAGCCACACUACAAGGUUAGUAGUAAUGUAAGACAUUAGAAAUCCAACCAAAACUCGGAAUUCAAACAAAAAGUUUAGUCAGACUCCAACAAANACAUUAGAAAUGUAAGAAUAACAAAACCUAAAGGUUUACAAAUUCCAUCACUUUUUUUUCCACAGCCCACCUCACAUAUCAUUCUCGUAAAAUAAGUUUAAUUUACAAAGUUUCAAAUUAAAAGGAAACAUCUUCACUUAUGAUAUAUGCUCAAUGAGACAAAUAUUACACAAAAUAAAUCCACCGAACAUUGCUGCAGAGAAAAAAUAAUUAAUUGAAUCCUUAUAAGAAACUAAGUAGAAUUUGCCAAAACUCAGAAUUCUUGAGUUUGAUCAAUCCGAUAAAACCAUAUAAAAAACAUCAUAGAAUUUACCAAAACCUCAUACAAAAUUGAUCAAGAAGGCAACUAACAAGAAACACAACAAUCGCAUAUGCAACACCAAUCCAACUCCCAAAUAUUUUAUGAUGAAAUAUGAUACUUAAUUAUAUAAACUGUAAAUUCUGUACAAAAAAAUAUCAAAUCUUCAUAAGUUGAAACAGAAAAAUAUUACACGUCAAGGUUAUAAAAAAUAUUAUGGAGAAAGUUCUACAUAGAAAUAUAUACUUUCUCAUUGCCUCACAUGAACGAUGGCCGAAAAAGUCUUCAUAGACAGUGACCAAAACAUCUAUUCUGAUUUAAAUUCAUACGGGUCAAGUCAUAUUGGACUUGGAUCAAAUUAAAUCUUAGUGAUAGUAAUGAAGACUAUUUAUUAAAAGAAAACAUAUAACUAGAUAUUGUUAGUGUUUGCAGUAGUAAAAGUCAAAAGAAAGGUAAAACGAUACUAAGAGCUAUUGCUAAGAGCUACCUCAGAUGGAGCAGACUGACUACCUAUGUAUAAUAAAAUAGAAAAAUUGUUUUCAAUCAUUUCAAUUUUGUUUUUGAAUCUGAAUAUGAUUUUGACAAAAUCAUAUACAAUAUUUUUAUAAUAUAUAACAAGGGUACUUGUUUUUCAUUUCUCUAAUCUGGAAUGUAAACAGGACAAUGUAGGACUGUAUAUCUAAUAAGGUACAUGCAUAAAAUGGUUUAAAACUUUCUCACUAAUAGACUAAAUAUCUAAAAAAAUAUUUACAAAACUUUAGGGAAUAAAUAGUCUGGUUUAGUAAAAGAAGCAGUUUAAAAAAAUUCCCACGAAAAGAUUUAGGAAUCUAUAUCCUUUGAUUCAAAUUAGAAAACAGAAAAGAAUUCCGGUAAGAAUGAAAAACAUACCUGUUUCUAUUACAAAUCAAACGAAAAAAAGAAAAAUCACAUUUUACUGAUUUACUAUAAAAAUAAUAUUUUAAAUAACAUUAAAAUAAAUCAUUCACAUUCAUAUAAUACAUUCUGAUCAGAGUAAAUAUUUACAUUAAAAUAAAUCAUUCACAUUCAUAUAAUACAUUCUAACGAGUAAAUAUUUAUUUUGCGAUCAGAGUAAAUAUUCACAUAAUCCAAAUCACAAGAAAAAAUAAUCUCAAUUUACUUAUCAGAGUCCAUAGAAAGGAACAAAAUGUAUAAAGGAAAAUACAACAUUGUUUUUUAAAUAACUAUGAAUUUCAAACAGGAAUAACUACGAAAGCAAUAAUCAUUCAUAAUAAUUAUAUAAGAAUUAAAGGACCAUAUUAACAAAUAUCAAAUUCAAUACAAGAAUAAAACUGAAUAUAAAAUACAUCCAUAUUCCUAGAAAAUAUCUGACAAUCACAUCCCAUAUUUCAAAAUUGGAAAUAGACUGUUCAUACCUGGACAUAUCCUAAUCCAAAAUACCUCCAACGACUCUGACCUAAGUAGUCAAAACAACUAUCAAGAAUAAAGGGAAAAAGAUAGCUAAUCUAUAACAAGCAUAUAUCAACAUAAUGUACAUACUCCAGUAUUAUCUUACUCAGAAAUACAUAUUCCUAUCCAAAUCAAACAAAUAUGAAAAAAAUGAAUUCAAAGGUUUUGGAAAACCAAUAAGCAAACCAUCAAANCAAAGAGUAAGCCCAACAGCACUUGUCAACCAUGUUCAUCUCACAAAGCCUUUCAUAGGGCCAGAAAUCAUAAAAAUGUAACUGAUACACCUGUAGUGACUGUUACAAA